rnacentral:misc_RNA from 1 species
AUAUAUAUAUAUAUAUAGAACAAGAAUUUCAUUUGGUUAAUUAUUAAUAAUGUGAACAUAUCAAAUGGGAAGAAAGGGCUAUAUCAUCAAUGGAUUACAAAUUACAGUAAAUAGGCAUAUGAUUCCACCUGGAUACAAAUAUAAACUAUACUUGAUGGAGAGAACAUAUGAAAUGGAAAAGCAAAAGUGACCUUUGUUUUGCAAGUAGAAGUGGUCCUGGGUUUUCAGCAAGCAGCAGAUCUUAGAAUAACUGGAAAAACAAACUCGUUGAACCAUCACUGUAUGACCUGAUAUCUGCAGGUUUGACCAAUGCCCUGCACAAUGGACAUGUCCUUUCUCGCUCAAACCAUUCUGAUACACAUUCCUCACAGAAUAUGUGUUUACAACGCAGCAAAAUUGGCGCAUGCAUCUUCUCCUGGCAAAUAGCACAGAGAUCUCCAGCAGCAUUGACCUGUUCGGAUGUGGCGUAAGAAACAUGGUUCAUUUCUUUACAUGAUAGAGCCCUCAAUGCAGUAAAGAACAAUUGAACCUUUCCCAAGGCCGAUGUAAGCUUGAAAGUUAAGUACAAUCCUGUAAUUAAUGAAGAAAAAAAGCUUCCAUACUCUUUGUUUAAGAAGAACCUAUACCAGACAGGUGCUGGCAACAAGGAACGGUACAAUAACAAAAAAUACUCGACCAAGGUUAGCAUUUGACCCUGCUUACGGUAAUUGUGCCCUCUACUAUUCUUGUAAUGCAUCAAAAGUACACAUUUGAAGGCCAUUGCAACCUGCCGCACCAUAGCAUCAUUUACCACGAUGAUAAAUAAAGCAUGCCAGAAAGGAGGUAUUGUGCUCGGAGGAAGUAAGACCAAUGGAUAUAGAAGAUCAUCAUUUCUAUACCACCAAUAAAUUGACAUCACAUGAAGCAUGAACCCUAAAGUAAUAGUUACAAUAAUAGAAUUCUUUCUGUCCCCCUUUAGAGCUGUCUGCUUCUUUAGAAUAUCAUUUGAUUUGAACAAAACUGCAGCAAUCCACAUUGCCACACAAAACCCUUGUAAAUGUUGGCGAAUGAAAACAAGUAGAAGCAGCAAAGAGAAUGGAAGAAUUUGCUCAAUCCACCUAGCGAAGUUCUGAAUAUCAUAUCUCUGAUAAGAAGGAGGCGGAGAAGGAGCAUGAGAAGAGGAAGAGGGGCCUGUGGCGAUCGCGGAAGCCCCAUCUGCGCCUGGGGUUUGGGAAGCAACAGCUCCACCAGGUUGAUCAUCUGAUGACGCAGGCAUCGCCUCAACAGUAGAGGCAACAUUAGAAUCUGCAGCACCAACUAUCCUAAUAGUAACCUCCUGGUGGUGAGCACCAGUGCUAGACUGUGUGGCAGCAGAAGAAGGAGGAGGAAGAAUCAAUUGCUCCCUUUCUUGAACAGCGGAGGAGGCGUUUCCUCCUCCUCUUAGAAUACCCGAGUAUUCCAAAAGGGUCGUCAAUGGAGCAUGUAUCAAAUUCGAUGCUGAUAUAUUGAUCCCAUAUCUUCUUGAGUUGCUAUUUCUACUGCCGCCGCCGUCGCUACUUCCCGAACUCGAAGAAGAGGAAGAAGAAGAGUCCCUGUAGAUAUCUUCAGAAUUGGCAGAAGAACAAGUCUCCAUUUCUGGGUGAGUUUCGUUUGUGCCAAUCAAAGUUAAUGGUAUAAAAAUAUUGGGAUUUGUUAGGCUAAACACAGGCUGGCUAGUACAGUUGUUGUUGUUGUUGUUGCCGCGGCAUUUCCUUCGAUGUCUCUUUCACAGCCUCUUUUGUAAGUUAAUUGGUUUUCUAUUGUGUCUCUGUAGAAAUGGGGCAUCUGAAACUGACAUUUUCUUUUUAUUUCUUUAUCCAUCCUCAAAGGAAAGGAAAGGAUAGAAAUACAAAUAGAAGAGGGUUUCGUCAUCAAAGAAGGAGAUAGAUAACCUUCUUAGGUACAGACGCUUCAACCAACUGUUCUGUUACACACAGGGAACACA